rnacentral:rRNA from 1 species
AAACGACUCUCGGCAACGGAUAUCUCGGCUCUCGCAUCGAUGAAGAACGUAGGGAAAUGCGAUACUUGAUGUGAAUUGCAGAAUCCCGUGAACCAUCGAGUCUUUGAACGCAAGUUGCGCCCCAAGCCUUCUGGCCGAGGGCACGUCUGCCUGGGUGUCACAA